rnacentral:lncRNA from 1 species
UUUGGGAAGACUGAUUUGAGUAAAAUGCCUGAUUCUCCUGUGUGGCCAGUCUCGUGUCAAUUAAACUCUCUACUACAAUGCCAUGGUGUCAAUGCAUCUUGUCUGUGCAGUGCGCAGAAAGAACCCACUGGCAAUUACAUUACCAGUAGCUAUCGCUCUUCUGUCCUUCAAACAGGAAAUACUUCAACCCUGGAUGUCUAUGUUAUCUCACUUUAUCUGUACAGCAAUCCUGUCCUCCAGUGACUAUAUUGCAAUGAGUUAAGAAGAGAGUUUCAGAAAGAUAACAUGCCUGGCCAAGGGCUGAGUCACCAAACUACAGCCUACAUUCCAAAAACGUCACACUGAGUGUUUUUGUCAAUAAAGUUUUAUUGAAACACAGUCAUGCUUAUUUGUGUAUUAGUGGCUGUUUCCACACCAUGAUGGCAAGAGUUGGUAAUUUUUUUUUUUUUUUUAACAGAGUCUUGCUCUGUCACCCAGGCUAGAGUGCAGUGUGAUCUCGGCUCACUGCAGCCUUCACCUCUCAGGCUCAUGUGAUUCUCCUGCCUCAGCCUCAUGAGUAGCCAGGAUUGCAGGUGUGUGCCACC